AAAUGUGCACUGCACACUCGGGCGUGAGUGAGAUUCAAGCCGUCCAAAUCCAUCCUGGAUAUCCGAUUCAGCUACAGCAGUCAGCGUUGUGUACUCAGUGUUUUUGUUUUCUCACACUAAUUUUCUAUCACAGCUGGCAAACAGUAGAAUGAAUGUUGGCCUUGACCACCAUGUGCAGCACAACUCAGAAUUAAGCAAGUUUUCACCACAGUUAUGGUAGAAUGGUCUGGAGUUUUGCUUCACUGAUGCUAAAACAAAGAAAACUGGCUGCAGCUGCCACCCAAUGUGGCAAUCCCGAGGUGUUACGUAACUGCAACGUCAUGUAGAAACCACCACUGAAGAAAUGCUCGCUGAUUUCAAAACUUUGGUUGAAGUGGCGCUUGUAAUUCCAGUCUCUAGUGUAGCGGCAGAGAGCAGAUUCAGCCUCCACAACAUCAAAAGAGCCACGAGAAGUCGUCUGUCUGACACAGAAUUCCAAAACCUCAUACCAAUAGCCUCUGCAGCAAUCCCACUUCAGACAUUUCAAUUACACACUGCUGCGCUCAGGUCCAGGCGGACCAGGAGGACGUUGUGAGACUGUGCGUUCAGGCCACUAAAGAAGCUGCUAAUCUUUCGCAUUCUACCCACCUUGUUCCAAUGGAAGACAUGCAAAUGCUAUCAAAUGCUCUGUUACAUAGGGGAAGGUAAGGUACAGAAACAACCGUAAUGUUGCCUCAUGAUUUAUCUAAUUGAAACUGGAGGUGGCCAUAGGGAUACCGUUGAGUCAUUCCUACAAAACAAUCCAUGUGUCGAGUAUAUUUGAAAAGGGAAGUAUUCACAUAGGUAGGACAACAAGUAAGCGAAGAGACAAUUAAAAACAAUUUUCAGUUGCUAGGCAGACUAUAUAGCAAACUAGGCGUAGAACAUUUGAAACAUUUAACUUAUUGUAAGCAGUUUACUAAGUUGCUUCAAAAAAUAACACUGUUGAAUAUUCUUCCUUUUUUCUACCUUUAAGUAUUUGUGCUGAAUGUGAAAUUGUUUAACAACAUCAGUGUUAGCAAACAUUAGUUUUCCUAAGGAUUAGAGGCAUAAAAAUAUGUUGAGGAAUAGAAUGGUGGAACAUUGCGAAACAUUUCACGACUUCAGAUAGUUGUUUAUGAUGUUAGACUGGAGGUGACUUGUACGCUUUUAGUGGAUAAAAUUCAACAGAAAUUUUUUUUUCAAAUGACAGAAUUUGGCUCUUUAUCGUUGUCACAAGUUUAAUCUUGAAAUUUGAUCUUCAAGAGACUGUUAGAGUAUUUUAGAUGUAAAGCGAAAAUAGAUUUCAGAAGCCUUUACUUACAAACCACCACCGGGAACUAACUGCAAAACCAAUAUGAUUAAUAUGCAACUUAUUUUGAGAAAUGAAUGAACUGGAAAAAGCUGAACAAACGAUGAUUCAUGCACAAAAUCAAACAUAAGGUUAGUGAUUAUAAGGUUUCUUCAAGGAUACUGAUCAGAGACAGACAGAACUCUGAGGAACUAUGAACAUACUGGUGAUAAAAGUCGUCCAACAACAACUGGAAGCAGACAGCAUUUGGCUCAGUCUCAUGUGUGGUAGGACAGGAAGCAUGAAAUAUGUCUUUAAUACUGUUGCAAAAGAAACAAUCAAUAAUUUGAUCCUAAUCCUCGUGCAUGAAUACAUUUUAAAUUAGUUUAUAAAAUUAAGGAGAUUAGAUUUUAUACACUACAUGUUAAGGACUAACGGAUGAGAAAAUAAAGGAAUUUAGGGCUAGAAAGACAAAUGCACAACAAAGUUCAAAUGAUAGUAAUGGCAAAUUAUGACAGUUUUAAUGAUUGAAGGUGUUACCCUAGAUCCCAAGAAAAACUCUGUGGGAAGUUUAAUCUCUAACAUAUUAGCUGAGAAUGUAAGUCCAGGAAACAUUGUUCACAAGGCCAGUAGGAUCAGGAAAUGGUUUUUGGAUUAGAUCCCAGAACAGAGACAGAGAUAAUAAGUAUAUAAAGAACCGAGUUUUGACUUAGGAAAGUUGCUUAGAGAAUUUAAAAUAGGAACUUGAAUAAAUUUACAAUCCUGCAUGACUGAAAGGUUUUUACAGUAUAGGAUACUGGAUUCUAAGUCUUCGCAAGUAAGUCUUUCACACAUAAAUGAGUGUUUGAGAUGCACAAUGGUAAUUUAUAUGUACAAAAUAAAAUAGGUCUCUUGUUUUCUUUAAACAAUGGAUUUUAUUAAAUGUUUGUUAGUGUAGGGAAAAUAUUAGGAAAAAAGCAAUGUCCCCUUUAAGGCAAAAUAUAACUUUGACAUCUCUUUCGCAAACAGAGAAAGUGCCAUGUGAUCUGGAUGUCUUUCAAUAAUUAUAUGGGGAACUUCUUGAUUGUGUGUACAGACAAUUAUAAAUUAACAUAAUCUUUGUUAGUGGAAUACAGCAGCGGUGUUUGACGUGGCUAUAAACAAAGUCUCAGAAUGUUAGCAAACUAAGAGGUUUAUAUCAUAGGAGGGAGGAAUGAACUGCCUCCCUUUGGAAUUGGUUAUCUUCUGUUUUGAGAAUUUCCAGUCGUUGUCUCUACAAUGCCAAACAUCACAUUCUUUGGACAAAGCACAAAAUUGCAGACUCCAUUAAGUAUUCGCAUCAUGAAUACAGAGAAAUAAGGGCUAAACACUUGGCAUAGACGUUAAAACUUAUCUUUUAGAUAAGAAUGUGAAGGAACCAACCCUAACGGAGUUGUGAUCUCUGGUACUGGAUGUCAGCUGUUAACUGAAAGGAAACUGACAAUACUGGCAGGAGAGACAAAGUAUCAUAUAAUUUGAUUAUUAGUGGUUAAUUAAGUUAGUAUCAUGAAGAUACAACAUUAUUCACACAUACAAGGACACAGAAUGUCAAUAAACAAGAAAACUUUGAAUGCUGAAAACUGACUUUUUCAUCUGAAAGCUUGCAGUAACAGGAUGAAGUUGAUUAUAGAAUAUCAGCUGAAAUCUGAUAACGUAACAAAAUAGCAGAAACUGGGAUGCAUCAUCUCAAACAUGCAUCUCUCAUUUAAAAACAGCAUCUAAUAUAAAAAAAGAAACAUUUAUCUGUGAGUAAGAGGACCAUUUGAAGUACAUAAGUGACAAGUCUUCAGUCGAAUAAGAGGGAAACCUGAGCUUAUCUGUGAAGCCUGAACAACACAUCUAAAUGUUCUGAUGUAUCUCUCUAAUCAAAGGGGGGUUAAGUCAGAAGUUUAUGAGAUCGAUUUAAGAAUAAAAUAACACAUGAGGUGAGGUUUUAUAAAAUGACUAAUUUCUGAAUGAUAAUAAAAUGCGCACCAGACAUACUAUUUUUAGGCACUGGAUCAAAUUGAAGACUGUUUAACUUAUUUUGACUUACUGUACAAAAACAAAGUAGUUAGCAAUGUCAAUAUAUCUCUUUUCAGGAUAAUGUCUGAGAAACACAUAGUUUAGAACAAUAUCUGUGCUGAUAGGGUGAGGUAGACUGGCACUAAGCAUGCUUCCAGGGGAAAGGGUGUUUGCUUGACCUGUCCGUGCUAACUUCUGUUUCUUUCUUUUGCAUGAAAACCCUGAGUGAAUAUAAUUGAUUAUCACUGCUAAAAGGAGCAGUUCAGAUCUCUCUAUCAAUAGCCUUUUACAGGUGAUGAGAGGGAACCAAAUUGACCUACAGAACGUUACCCUUUGUUGAUGUGGAGGCUGGACCUGGGUUGUCAUUCAGAGAGCUUUUAGAAGAAAGUUCUUUCUGAAUGGAAAAUGGUUUGACCAUUUAUUUUAUUUCUUAAGAACUUUAUGUAUUUUAUAUUUGCUGCAGCACAAUUCUACUCUAAAAGUUUAACUUAUUAAAUUUGGUUUCAAAGUUUCAUUUCUGCUCAUAAUUAUUUUGUUUUCUGAGAUUCCUAUGUACUCGGGGCUGGAGUUUGAGCACUGCUGUGAAAGUCAUCACACCCUUUUUCAUAUCAUCAUUGCAUUGGACUAUGAUAAAGGAGGACUUUGAGGAAAUACAGGAAAAAGGACACUAAGGAAAUACAGAAAAGGUGAUGCUACCGAUGCAACAACACCCAAUUUACAUGUGAUACUUCUGUUACAACUAUGAUCUGAACAAGUUCCCUGAUGUCUAAUGCUUGGAUAACAUGCAUGAUGUAGUAACUAAGAGGAGAUUAGUAAGGGUUUGACUGCCAUUUUUGUUGUACAACGUUUUGUCCUGUUUCUGUUAAUUUAGGAAGGUAAGAUGAAUGUCUUUGGUUUCAAUUUCUUUUAUCAGGUAAGGUUUAUUCAUAAAAGGCAGAUCUGUUUGGUUGUUAUUUUGGCCUGGGUUAACCCUGAAGUUACAACAAUCUCCUUUUUUGCACAACUUAUGCUUGAUACUUGAUACAUUAGUUGGUUUCAUAUUCUUUAAUUGUUUAGAGUUUUGUAUGGUUUAGAGGGGAAUAUGAAGAGCAGUUAAAUGGACACAAACAGUAAUUGGACUGUGGAGACAUCAAGAAAGGAUGUUUAAUUAGACAUGUGGUACUCUAAUGUUAUGGGUUGGCACAAUACUGGUCAGUAUUCUCUGUCUUCUCAGAAUGACACCAUUCCAGAGACUGGCUGUACAGGUAACCUUUUUGGGCGUUGGACUCAGAGACCUAUGGACACAUGAAGACUUUGUUGGACCCUGAACCAGGAUAAAUGCGAUGGCAGAACAAUAAAGUUGAAAAGACGAAUCUCAGAGACUAAAGAAUGUUCCAGGAAGACCAAGGACAGAGACUGAACUACACUGUUUUUCUGCUGAGAAUUUUAUUGAUGUUUUUUUAUUUUCUGUUAUAACUUCAAAUUUGUCUAUAUGUCGUUUUAAUGUUCUGAAUUGAUUCAAGCUGUUUAUGCACUCUGAUAGAAUGGGAGCAUCCAUUCUUGUGAUAUUCAGCUCCAGAGUUUCAACAUGGUCAAUGUUUUCUGGUACAUACGUUGUGGUGAAUAGGAAUAAUGAACCAGGACCUGAUUGGCAUUAAAGGUCCUUAAAAUAGAUGAUAAUGAUGCAUAUUAGAUUCAAUAGAGGGAUCUCUCAUUCAGAUUGGCUGAGAAUGAGAUUUCUCUGAGGCCUCCAGACGUUUUUCCCCGCCUUUUAGGAUGGGUGGGUUUUUCGACUGGUGUGCCCUAAGCCGACCUGAAGGUCCCCUUCAUCAAUACGUAAGCUUGGGAGUUUGACUGACAUGGAUGUUUUCCAUGGGUGAGUUGCUGAGAUGUGUUCCUGAAGGAGGCUUUUGGGAAGAGCUAUAGAGCAGCCGGAUUUGGUCUAAUUAGUGAAUAGGUUUAGUUUCGCAUAGUCUAACACAGUUAAAAUAAUGUGCGCAUAGGAGCUCUUAAAUAGGAUCUUACUUAAUUAGUUGAGCCCGAAAUUUAAGACUUAAACAAGAACAAUCAUUUAGGGUUGCUUAAUAUUGUACAUAAAGUAUCUUCACUGUCUUUCAUAAUCGUUCACAUUUUAAUUCAUUUUACUUACUCCAAUACAUCACUUAUACUCACAAGAUAUUUACAAUAUGAAUAUAAGACCUCUCUCAGCUGUUAAUUAGCUUAAAUAACUUAAUUAAGGGGGGAAUACGUAGAGGCAUAAAGCUGUGUUUGAAUAAAUUAAAAGUGUUAUUAUUGUUUUUACCAUUAUAAGAUGAAUUAUGUGAAUUCUUUCUUCUGUGCAUAAGGAAACAGGCCUGUCUGGAAACAGAUUACAUUAGGGAAAAGUUCUUGGCGAGAGGUAAAGACUAAUGGGUUUGUUAUUGUAGGAGAUCUUGUGAUGCCCUGACUCUGCCAGGUCAAUGUGACAUUAGAUGUUUGCAUCCAGAUAAAGUCAUGAGAGUGUUAUUAUAAAAUGUCACGUACGCCAA